AGCUGAAUCUGCGGGGGCCACG
rnacentral:miRNA from 1 species